UUCUCCCACCUCUCAGCUGAUCGGCGGGUGGGCGGUUGGGCUUCCACGGAGGCCUCGUGUAGGCCUCUGUGAAGCCUGAACUCCAGUAGGGCCCAAGCCAGCCAGGAAGGAGGAGGCAGCCAGAGUGGCCACCACUGCUCUCUGCAGCAGAAGACCCCUUGCUGCCCUGCCGAACCCAGCAUUUGCCAGAUCCAAGAAGAUCAGUGUGAGGCAGCCAACGCAGCUGUUCCCAUUUUCUUUCAACUGACGCCUCUUUUUCAAGUCACUUCCAAUUGCCUAUCGCUCGCUGUGCAUUUGGGAAAGAGAAUUUUAAAUAUUAUCUGAAGCCACCUCGAGCGAAGAAAUGAUUCUGGAAUGUGUCAGAUCUGCUGCUUACAAAUUAAACAGCUGAAUAGCUUGGAGCUUCGUUGCCAAGAUAAAAGGAAUCAGUACAGCCUGGAUAUGGACUAAUAUCUAAGGAGAUAAGCUUAUGCCGGAUAUCGCGACAAUAGUGACAGUAGAAGAGAAUGUGAGCCGUCAUUUCAAUCUCACCAGAGCCACAGGGGCAAGUAAACUCUCCACAUGGAAUUCUUUGGUAUCUCCCUUCCAACACAGCUGUACACAAGGCAUUGCUUCGGGCCAAUGUCAGGGCUCUGCAGUACUAACUGGGGAACUGCUACCUUCUGGGCAGCAGCAGAAGAGCUUUCAAAUACUGCUCCCCCCGCUCCGGGAAUCACCCAACAUGGCACAGAGAAGGGGAGCAACAUCAUGAUGCUGUGUCCUUUCCAUUGCUCAGGGAUGGAUAAGGGUGGAUAUUGGUUGCCGUUGCUUUAUAUGUUUGGGGCGCUAGGACCCGUGAAAGGGCCUUCUCAGUUGCUGCCCCACUUCUCUGGAAUUCCCUUCCCCUGCAGAUUCGUUUAGCUCCUUCCUUGUUGAUUUUUAAAUCUUUAUUGAAGACUUUUCUCUUUCUCCAGGCUUUUACCCUGCAGUUUAUCUAUUUGGUUCUUUCUUUCUUUCAGUUACUUUAGUUUUCUUUAGAAUGUAAUUUUAAUGCUGUCUUGUUUUGCAUGUUUUUGUACACCGCCCAGAGUCUUCGGAGUGGGCAGUAUAUCAAAUGUUCCAAAUAAAUAAAUAAAUAAGUGGAUGGGACAGUAAACAAACA